rnacentral:rRNA from 1 species
CCCCUAGAUGUUCUGGGCCGCACGCGCGCUACACUGAACAGUUCAACAAGUCUUAACCUUGGCCGAUAGGUCUGGGUAAUCUCCAAAUUUCGUCGUGAUGGGGAUAGAUUAUUGCAAUUAUUAAUCUUCAACGAGGAAUGCCUAGUAAGCGCAAGUCAUCAGCUUGCGUUGAUUACGUCCCUGCCCUUUGUACACACCGCCCGUCGCUCCUACCGAUUGAAUGGUCCGGUGAAGCGCUCGGACCGCGGCCUCUUGACGGUUUUCCGUCGAUUGGCUGUGGGAAGUUCGUUAAACCUUAUCAUUUAGAGGAAGGAGAAGUCGUAACA